rnacentral:rRNA from 1 species
UGGGGAAUAUUGGACAAUGGGCGAAAGCCUGAUCCAGCCAUGCCGCGUGUGUGAAGAAGGUCUUCGGAUUGUAAAGCACUUUAAGUUGGGAGGAAGGGCAUUAACCUAAUACGUUAGUGUUUUGACGUUACCGACAGAAUAAGCACCGGCUAACUCUGUGCCAGCAGCCGCGGUAAUACAGAGGGUGCAAGCGUUAAUCGGAAUUACUGGGCGUAAAGCGCGCGUAGGUGGUCUGGUAAGUUGGAUGUGAAAUCCCCGGGCUCAACCUGGGAACUGCAUUCAAAACUGACUGACUAGAGUAUGGUAGAGGGUGGUGGAAUUUCCUGUGUAGCGGUGAAAUGCGUAGAUAUAGGAAGGAACACCAGUGGCGAAGGCGACCACCUGGACUAAUACUGACACUGAGGUACGAAAGCGUGGGGAGCAAACA